CAGCCGCCGCGGUAAUACGAAGGGGGCUAGCGUUGUUCGGAUUUACUGGGCGUAAAGGGCGCGUAGGCGGACUGAUAAGUCAGGGGUGAAAUCCCAAGGCUCAACCUUGGAACUGCCUUUGAUACUGUUUGUCUUGAGUUCGAGAGAGGUAAGUGGAACUGCGAGUGUAGAGGUGAAAUUCGUAGAUAUUCGCAAGAGCACCAGUGGCGAAGGCGGCUUACUGGCUCGAAACUGACGCUGAGGCGCGAAAGCGUGGGGAGCAAACAGGAGUAGAGACCCCCGUAGUCCCUGUCUCUUAUAC
rnacentral:rRNA from 1 species